UCGACUUUGAAUUCUGCGUUGGAGGACCGUUAAACUAUUUUUCCCACAGAGAUCGUUUUUUCCCCCGAGUUCCCAGUUGUCUUGAAUGCACUGAAGUUGGAGAUUUCCAAACUCUGAAUUCCCAGUUGUUAUGAAUGCGGCACAAGACUGUUCUCAGGGCAGGCUUUGUUGUAGUAGAUAUGUUUCAGUCUCGUUGGGGCCAAUUUUUGCAUUUUAGCUAACGCUAACCCUUUUCUUAACCUUAACCUCAUUCUCCUAACCUGUCAUGUUAAUUCUCUUAACCUGUACAACCUGCUAGUCAAAACCGGCAUAUCUGCCAUGAGAACCGUAUGAUGAGAUACAGCGUGUCAUCGACUGACAGAUUGCUAUAACAUAUUAUGAUGUGGUUAGCUGAUAGUGAUACUUAAAGAUGCACCAUGCAGAAAUCGAUCAACCAUUUCCCAUUUGCUAAAUUUCUAAUAGCUCGCCUAAUUUCAGUGUAUGUAACAAAAUAAUCAAGUAUAGUGUAGAGAAUCAUUGUACCAUCUAAACCUCUGUAAAAAUAUAUAUUCCAUUACUAAAAAUAUUGUAUUUUCAGCUGUUUCAAGAUGGUGUACAAAACCGAAAGUAAAAGACAAAAAAAUGAAAUUGAAGAACGGGAAGCAAAGAAAUAGUACACAUAGAACAUAUCUACCGACAGAUUUAAAACGAACAUUUCUAUAUGAAUUUGGUCGGGACGCCCAAAAAGCUACAUAUUGCAGUUUUAAAAUACCUAUCCAGGCGUUGUAUGAUCUGGCAUGCGUCAACAACGCCUGGACAGAGGAUCGCGCCCACUGUACUGCAUCCGACUUGAUAACACCCAGCCCACUCGCACGGUAAAUCUCAUGCCCUUAAAAGGCGUUUUUCAUAGUCUACGACAGUUUCAAUAUGAGCUGAUGCUAAACACACUGGUUCCGUUUUUUAUGUGCUCCUUUGCACACUCUUCUGGCGAAUAAGGGAAUAGCAGUGACCGUUCAAUGGAAACAAGCUGCUCUUCAGAGAAUAUUCUGUUAGUCGGAAAGUUUUAUGUACAAUUAUAUAGAAUAAAUGUAUAUCAAAUGUAGUAAACAAAAUGCUAAAUUAUUCCCCACUUUAAUCAUGGACUACUAGAUAGACGUCUCGACUCAACAGCAACCAUAUUUGACAAAAAAAAUAGUAUGUGUAUAUGAAAUAACGUUACAUACAUUACUACACUGUAGUAGAGAAUUCCCCCUACUGAGGGCACUGCAUGACACUAUUUAAUUGACUGAGUUUUUUUGUGCGCAAUUAUUUAUGUUUGGCUCCGCUGAGUCUGGCUCUCCUCAAGUGAGGAAAUAUCGAUCAGCGCAUAGCCGCGAUCUCAGACAAGCGACUGGUGCCCAGUUGCCCACUCUGUACAUGAACUGAUCAUUCACCCUCGGAUUGGUUAUUGAUAUCUGCACUAGCUAAUAAGGCCCGGUGCUCUUUGAUCCCUAUAUAUGCAGUCAGUCCCCAUGACUGUUCCUUUCAGUUGACAUAAGAGUGGGAUUUAUGGCAGUGUAUUCAUGGGCUGCGCGUGUAAAAGGUGACUUCACAACCAUUUCUUGCCCAGGGACCCCCCCCAGGCAAACCGGUGACCCAUGGACUCCCAUCAUACAUUAACAAAAACAGCAUCAGCGAAGGCUGGGGAUCUGGGCCUGGUCGUGGAUCUGUAGUAUCUCCCUCCUGUCCGACUCAUUGAAGAAAAACUCUUAGUCUAAUCUGGAGGUGAGUAAUCGCAGUUCUGAUGUCCAGAAGCUCUUGUCGGUCAUACUACUCUAUAUUGCUUGUCCUCGUGUGUCCGUUCAUGUUUUUCAGCAUAAAGUACUCUGCAGCCACUUUGUGUGGACACCAGGUGAGGCCACACACAGAUUCUUGUUGAACACUGUCCCUUUAACGACCUUGUUUUCUCAAUAACAGUCUCUCGCCUUCACUUCUAGGUUAUAUCAGCCGUGUCUGUGAACCCCUCCUGCAUCUGAACUUGCUACAUAGAGUGCACAGAAUGAUCAGAGGUAUGUUUUGAUGUGAGAGAGGAUGCCAACCCCCAGUCCAGUCAUCGCCAUCUCACCCGCUCUUAAAAUAAUAGUGUCUCUAGUCAGCCCCAAAGGUUAUGUCAUUAUGAUGAACUGAGAGAAUAUUAGGGUAGCACUGUGAUUCGUUAAUCAUAUGCUGCCUUCCCUGCUCCUCUGUUCUUACCUCUUUCCCUUUCUGUCUUUUACACCUCUCUUGCCACCUCUUUCUUCCUCUGUUUUUAUAAUGCACAACAGAUGUGCAUUGAAGUAAAGAUUGAACUUGUAUUUAUAAUAUAAUAUUACAAUUAUAAUAUUUAUAACACUUUGAUAAUUAACUUCUUUCAAUAAAGCAUUUCACAUUC